CCUCCUUUCUUGGCAUGCUCAUAGUUUUUCUGUACACGUGUGUGUUUGUGAUGGAGGAAUAUGAAAGUCCAGUUCUAUGUCUUCGGUGCCAGAAAGUCCACCAUCUUCUGGUUCUAUCCUCAAUAACUGGUACACUU